rnacentral:rRNA from 1 species
GUAGGGUGCAAGCGUUAAUCGGAAUUACUGGGCGUAAAGCGUGCGCAGGCGGUUUUGUAAGUCUGAUGUGAAAUCCCCGGGCUCAACCUGGGAAUUGCAUUGGAGACUGCAAGGCUAGAAUCUGGCAGAGGGGGGUAGAAUUCCACGUGUAGCAGUGAAAUGCGUAGAUAUGUGGAGGAACACCGAUGGCGAAGGCAGCCCCCUGGGUCAAGAUUGACGCUCAUGCACGAAAGCGUGGGGAGCAAACAGGAUUAGAUACCCUGGUAGUCCACGCCCUAAACGAUGUCUACUAGUUGUCGGGUCUUAAUUGACUUGGUAACGCAGCUAACGCGUGAAGUAGACCGCCUGGGGAGUACGGUC